GCAAAGGUAGCAUAAUCAAUAGUCUCUUAAUUGGAGGCUUGAAUGAAAGGUUUGACGGAAAGAAUACUGUCUCAAUAAUUUAUAUUGAAUUUAACUUUUGUGUGAAAAGGCAUUAAUAAUUUAGAGGGACGAUAAGACCCUAUAAAACUUUACAUAUGUUAUGUUAUCUAUUAGAGUUGAUUAAUAAUUAUAGGAUGACUAAGUUUGUUUUGCUGGGGCGGCAUGAAUAUAAUUUUUAACUGUUUUUAAAAUGAAAUGCUGAUAAGCAGAUUUUGGUCCUUCAUUGAGGAGAUAAGAGUAAGUUACUUU
rnacentral:rRNA from 1 species